UGGGGGAUCGUCUAGCGGUAGGACUCCAGACUCUGACUCUGGCUACCUAGGUUCGAAUCCUAGUCCCCCAA
rnacentral:tRNA from 2 species